GGAAGUAAAAGUCGUAACAAGGUCUCCGUUGGUGAACCAGCGGAGGGAUCAUUACCGAGUUUACAACUCCCAAACCCCUGUGAACAUACCAUAUUGUUGCCUCGGCGGUGCCUGUUUCGGCAGCCCGCCAGAGGACCCAAACCCUAGAUUACAUUAAAGCAUUUUCUGAGUCAAUGAUUAAAUCAAUCAAAACUUUCAACAACGGAUCUCUUGGUUCUGGCAUCGAUGAAGAACGCAGCGAAAUGCGAUAAGUAAUGUGAAUUGCAGAAUUCAGUGAAUCAUCGAAUCUUUGAACGCACAUUGCGCCCGCCAGUAUUCUGGCGGGCAUGCCUGUCCGAGCGUCAUUUCAACCCUCAAGCCCCCGGGCUUGGUGUUGGAGAUCGGCGAGCCCCCCGGGGCGCGCCGUCUCCCAAAUAUAGUGGCGGUCCCGCUGUAGCUUCCUCUGCGUAGUAGCACACCUCGCACUGGGAAACAGCGUGGCCACGCCGUAAAACCCCCCACUUCUGAAAGGUUGACCUCGGAUCAGGUAGGAAUACCCGCUGAACUUAAGCAUAUCAAUAAGCGGAGGA
rnacentral:rRNA from 1 species